rnacentral:rRNA from 1 species
ACUCUCGACAACGGAUAUCUCGGCUCUCGCAUCGAUGAAGAACGUAGCGAAAUGCGAUACUUGGUGUGAAUUGCAGAAUCCCGUGAACCAUCGAGUCUUUGAACGCAAGUUGCGCCCGAAGCCACUUGGCUGAGGGCACGCCUGCCUGGGUGUCACGCAUCG